rnacentral:tRNA from 1 species
GCCUUGUUAGCGCAGUAGUUAGCGUGUCAGUCUUAUAAUCUGAAGGUCGUGAGUUCAAUCCUCACACAGGGCA